UUUUGAACAGAGAUCUCAACGAGCCGAACACAUCGAUCAUUUUCAGCAACAGAGGCAUCUUUGUACGUCGUAUACGGCGAACUGCUUUCGAGAUCACGGAAGUAUCUUUCUCGAGAAGACAGUCGCUCUCUUCGUUUAGCUGAUCCGUUUUUACGAAUGAUUAUUGGACAUAAUAAAAAUGAAGGUUGUUGUUAUGGAUGGAGAAUUGGUCGAUUUGAAAUUGAGUAGAAGAAGAGGAUGAAACGACUAUUCGGACACAGUGAGACACGUGGGGCACGGAAGCAAGCCGUUAGAAGACUGGUCGAACUUGAGAGGCAUCCCUUGGCCUCGAUGCUAAACACAUAACUUAUAUGAUCUUCUAAGUAUCUUUCUCUUGUCAUGACAAUGAAAUGUACGUAUUCAUAUUAUUUAUCAAUUAAUUAUAAAUAGUUUUUAUUUUAUUAUUGGUUUUUAUAAUGAAAUUUUCAUAAUACUUUAUUUAUUAUUAUACUUAUUCACUUAUUAAAGCAUUUGUAAAUGGAUCUAAAUAAAUUUGUAUUUAAAUAACGUUAUUCAAAUAUG